rnacentral:lncRNA from 1 species
GGAAUGAUGACCUUCGUGGGUUGUAGAUUUGAUUCUUAAAUCUUGUAUCUUAUCUAUACAUCUUGCUACAGACUUCCUACGUCGUGUUUUUGUUCAUAUAUUAUACUGAAAGAUUUGAAACGCCAUGUUAUUAGUGAGCGUCAAAAGUAACGCAAUGUUUUGUUUUUAUUUACCGUUAACAUUAUAUAUUUUCAAUAAGGUCAAUUUUG